rnacentral:lncRNA from 1 species
UCCCUCUCAAUUCCAUUAGCCUGUACUCCUAAUUAAGUUUUGUUCACGUUGUCCUUUUUAACAGCUCAGAAACUCUCUUUCAAUGUAGCUAUUUUCCCCAGACCUCAAAUCGUUUCUACAUAUGAACUGCUGCUAUCAGCAUUUGAAAUGUCUUAAUCAAAUUAUAAUUUGUCUCAAAUGUUAAGAAAUUAUCGUGGCCCUUCUGUUCCCUGAAACAGGUCUGACGGACCGAAGGACAGUGUCUUCCGAGGACUGGGACGGAUUCUUGACUCGGGUGUUUGGGAAGCGGAGGGGGGAGUCGCCUUCCUCGGAUUUCGAGUGUCUUGACCUUGGUCCCUCAGUCAUCCAUCAAGUGUCUAUGCGCUGGCACCUGAGAGCCCUCCUGGAUGGGCCUGCCCUCACCCGCAGCGGCAG